UAAUCAAACAGAGCCACCCUCCCGUUAACCUCUGCCCUGGUUUCAGAAUGUCUUUCACCUUUCCCCUCGUUGUUUUGACUCUUUAAAGCAGUCUGGAUUAUGUGUUGGUAGUAGUGGUGAGGGUGGAGGAUGGAGAGCUGACGGGGAGGAUUUGUUCCUGUGCAAAGUCCAGCUUUCCUCUCAAUCAGGUUGGGCAGAAUGAGAUCAGCAGACAAGUUCAGCUCUCAAUGAGGAGAGGGAAAGAGAUUUCCCCCACCCCCUGCCCGGGACAAAGGGCAGGGGAGUAGAGGUGCCUGUGGAGACCUGAAGAGGGUUCCAGAAGAAGACAUCGGAUCCCUGAUGUGAGUUUGGAGAACAAUAUUCCAGUCCUCUGCAAGAGCAGCAAGCACUUUUAACCACUGAGCCUCCAGCAUUUCAGGAACUAGCUGUCCUUGGGUAAGAAGCCUGAAGAUCAGGAGCAUUUUGUUCCAUGGAGUAGGCAUAGUAAUUAAAACUUAAACUUGGGAACCUCCAGCACGCUUCUACAUGAUCCAGAAAACCUCAUUCCUGUCUCUUUCUCCAAACCCCACCCACUCAGAGAGUCUCCAGACAAAGGGAAGGCACCAAAAAGCACAGUUCGGCAUUCUUGUUGGCUACUACAACUUGCUCCCCUGAAGUUCCCACCUAAAGUGUUAAGCUUUUGACCAUACUUGGGCACAAACCCAGCUUGUGGCAGACUCGUCAUCACCCCU
rnacentral:lncRNA from 1 species